rnacentral:snoRNA from 1 species
AGGUCAUUUCAAAGAGGGCUUAUGGAGCUGUGAAACCAGGAGCUCUUAACGCUAUGACCAAAGAUUGAGGUUCUCCAUAGGAUGCCAGUCAGUCAGUAGUGCUGUGUUUCCCGAGGAGAUACAAAA